rnacentral:lncRNA from 1 species
GUCCUAUAUGUUCCGCAUUUCUUUUAGUAAUAUAUUUUUUUUUUGAUAAGUCAAAUAAAUUAAAUAUAUUUGUGGAAAUCAGAAAAUAAAAUAUCCAAAAAUUAAGGUGGAAGACGUGUUGAAGUAUCUCAUAGUGUAGUCCCAGUAUAAUUGACAAUAGCUUACCAUCCAAUCUGUUGCACCACUGGGUUCUAUAUAAAUAUGUGAAAUCUUAAGAGAGAGCAAGGUAUAUAUAUCAUCUGCUAGCAAUAAUGUAUUCUACUUCAAUUCACAUGAUUCUAAAGUUUGUAUUGGUAUAAAUGCUAGUUGCCUAGCUUGCAAUUUAAGGUUAACAGCUAAAAUAAAAAUUUUGUUUUCUUGGUCGUAAUAAAAAAUAUUAUUUAUGGUGGCAGAAUCUUCAGAACAAGGACAGAAAAUAGUAAAGGCUCAGGUAGAGUCUGAUCCCCAGUAG